rnacentral:rRNA from 1 species
UACGAAGGGGGCUAGCGUUGCUCGGAAUUACUGGGCGUAAAGGGCUCGUAGGUGGCCAACUAAGUCAGACGUGAAAUCCCUCGGCUUAACCGGGGAACUGCGUCUGAUACUGGAUGGCUUGAGAUUGGGAGAGGGAUGCGGAAUUCCAGGUGUAGCGGUGAAAUGCGUAGAUAUCUGGAGGAACACCGGUGGCGAAGGCGGCAUCCUGGACCAACACUGACGCUGAGGAGCGAAAGCCAGGGGAGCAAACGGG